ACACGCAGCAGUGGAGGACAGUGAGAGGAUCUUUACUGAGCUGAUCCGCUCCAUUGAGAGAAGGCGCUUUGAGGUGAAAGCACUGAUCAGAGAUCAGGAGAAGGCUGAAGUGAGUCGGGCUGAAGGACUUUUGGAGCGACUGGAAGAGGAGAUUACUGAGCUGAGGAGGAGAGAUGCUGAGCUGGAGCAGCUUUCACACACAGAAGAUGACAUCCACUUCCUCCAGAUUUGCCCGUCUCUCUUUGUCCCUCCUGCUCCAGAAGACCUACCCAACACCACUAUCAACCCACAUUUCUCCUUUGAGUCUGUAAGGAAAUGUGUUUCUGAGCUGAAAGAGCGACUGGAGGACGUCUUCAAGGAGGAAAUGCCCAAGAUCUCCAAGGCAGGCAGAGCAGUGGGCACAUAUGGCUGCUUUACUGAGACCGGGGAGCCUUCAGAAGCCAGAGCCACAGCAGCUGAAGUGAAGACCUGUCCCCUUUGCAUGAAGCCCUUGCAGGAGAAGCAGGGACUGAUGUGGUCUCAUGACUUCUGUGCAGACUGUCUGAAAGAUCUCGGUCUCCAGUGUCCAGUGCCCAAUGCGUCUAAAAGACACCAGCUAGAGGGACAUAUGACAUGGAAACCUUGCACCUUUAAUGAAGAGAAAUUUUUAUGGAUUACAUACAAUAUUCCCAGUGGAAUACAGAAGGAGGGCCAUCCCAACCCAGGGAAGCUCUUUACGAGAAAGGCGAUAGGGGCCUGGUUACCAGACAACCCAGAGGGCCGGGAGGUGCUGAAGCUGCUGCAAAGAGCCUUUGACCAGAAGCUGGUUUUUACAAUUGUAGCAACCAAUGGAGCUGAAGACAGUGUCGACUUCACUGACAUCCCCCAUGCAACAUUCCCGGCUAAAUGCCAAUGGCCUGGCUUCUUACAGGAAGUGAAGGCUGCACUCAGAGCCAAAGGCAUUGAAUGAUUGGAUGAAGAGAGGCAACUAAUUAUUUGAUACUCUCCCUGUGGACACGUACAAACACACACACGUGAGCACACAUGUACGUUUUUAUAAGAUUUAUAUAGUGUAGAAGAUUUUGUGGUCCGAUGAGGCUACAGUUCAGCUUUAUGACCUGAAAGCAAAUUUCUUUCCCCAUCACCCAGAAGGCCUGUAUUAUAAAAUGGCCCAACCACAGUCAAGCUUUAAAUCCCAUGGGAGAUCUGUGAUUGGGGCUGUGGGGGACAAAAUCAUUUGUGCCAAAUUAAGUUUGACAUGAAAAUCCACAGGACAGUACAUCUCAAGGAACAGGGUUGGGCAGCCCUGGCCUAGUGCCAAUGCAAGCUAUUUACCCUGAAAAUUCACAAAACCAUGAAAGAUUUGAAUCCUAUUGCAGCUCAAUCGGGGCCAAAAUAAUUCAAAAUAAAGGCCAAAAAUGUGUAAAGAAUACACUGCCUGUUGUUCAGAAUUAAAAGUGUACUGUGCGAGUUUUUUGCGGCCGUUCUACACUCUGUUUGCUUCCUUCUCUGUCCUCAACCCCUCCGUCACCCCCAUUGAGGACGCACCCUCUAGCGCUACAAGCAAAAUGUCAAGCGAAGUGGUGGUUGGAGAUAUUGAAAAUCACAUUUUUUAGCAACAUGAAUGAGUUGAUAUUCUCUGUUCUGAUUGGGGAACCACCCUGUCCUGGGCCUAACUGAAACUCAGUCACCCCAGGCCUGUUCUCUCUCACUGCCAAACUCUAUCCUUACCCUGACCUGUGCUACAGUUGUGAUCAGACCUUUUCUUUUUUUAACUUUAACUUUGUGUGAGCCGUUUAUGCUUUUGGGUUUAUUUUAGUUUGUUGUGUUUUAGUUGUUCAUUAACAGGGAUGGGGAAAGUCCAGGUCCACCUUCCCAUUGCGGGGAGGGGGGGGGGGGGGGUGAGCUGAACUCCUUCUUUUCUUUCUGCUUGUGUGUAUUUACUUAUUUAUUUGUGAUAAUAAACUUCCUUCCUUUCAUUUUA